UCCUUCGGGAGCAGAGUGACAGGUGGUGCAUGGUAGUCGUCAGCUCGUGUCGUGAGAUGUUGGGUUAAGUCCCGCAAACCGAGCGCAACCCUUGAUAUUAGUUGCCAUCAUUAAGUUGGGCACUUUAAGGUGACUGCCGGUGACAAACCGGAGGAAGGUGGGGAUGACGUCAAAUCAUCAUGCCCCUUAUGACCUGGGCUACACACGUGGUACAAUGGACGGUACAAAGAGCUGCAAGACCGCGAGGUGGAGCUAAUCUCAUAAAACCGUUUUCAGUUCGGAUUGUAGGUUGCAACUCGCCUACAUGAAGCGGGAAUCUGAUUGUAAUCGCGGAUCAGCAUGCCGCGGUGAAUACGUUCCCGGGCCUUGUACACACCGCCCGUCACACCACGAGAGUUUGUAACACCCGAAGUCGGUGGGGUAA
rnacentral:rRNA from 10 species